rnacentral:rRNA from 1 species
AUUGAACGCUGGCGGCAUGCCUUACACAUGCAAGUCGAACGGCAGCACGGGUGCUUGCACCUGGUGGCGAGUGGCGAACGGGUGAGUAGUACAUCGGAACAUGUCCUGUAGUGGGGGAUAGCCCGGCGAAAGCCGGAUUAAUACCGCAUACGAUCCACGGAUGAAAGCGGGGGACCUUCGGGCCUCGCGCUAUAGGGUUGGCCGAUGGCUGAUUAGCUAGUUGGUGGGGUAAAGGCCUACCAAGGCGACGAUCAGUAGCUGGUCUGAGAGGACGACCAGCCACACUGGGACUGAGACACGGCCCAGACUCCUACGGGAGGCAGCAGUGGGGAAUUUUGGACAAUGGGCGAAAGCCUGAUCCAGCAAUGCCGCGUGUAUGAAGAAGGCCUUCGGGUUGUAAAGCACUUUUGUCCGGAAAGAAAUCCUUGACUCUAAUACAGUCGGGGGAUGACGGUACCGGAAGAAUAAGCACCGGCUAACUACGUG